rnacentral:rRNA from 1 species
AGUGAACGCUGGCGGUAGGCCUAACACAUGCAAGUCGAACGGCAGCACAGUAAGAGCUUGCUCUUACGGGUGGCGAGUGGCGGACGGGUGAGGAAUACAUCGGAAUCUACUUUUUCGUGGGGGAUAACGUAGGGAAACUUACGCUAAUACCGCAUACGACCUACGGGUGAAAGCAGGGGAUCUUCGGACCUUGCGCGAUUGAAUGAGCCGAUGUCGGAUUAGCCAGUUGGCGGGGUAAAGGCCCACCAAGGCGACGAUCCGUAGCUGGUCUGAGAGGAUGAUCAGCCACACUGGAACUGAGACACGGUCCAGACUCCUACGGGAGGCAGCAGUGGGGAAUAUUGGACAAUGGCGCAAGCCUGAUCCAGCCAUACCGCGUGGGUGAAGAAGGCCUUCGGGUUGUAAAGCCCUUUUGUUGGGAAAGAAAAGCAGCAGGUUAAUACCCCGCUGUUCUGACGGUACCCAAAGAAUAAGCACCGGCUAACUUCGUG